GACAGAGGGUGCAAACGUUGUUCGGAAUUACUGGGCGUAAAGCGUGUGUAGGCGGCUACGCAAGUCGGAUGUGAAAGCCCCAGGCUUAACCUGGGAAGUGCACCCGAUACUGCAUGGCUCGAGUAUCGGAGAGGUUGGUGGAAUUCUCGGUGUAGAGGUGAAAUUCGUAGAUAUCGAGAGGAACACCGGUGGCGAAGGCGGCCAACUGGACGAAUACUGACGCUGAGACACGAAAGCGUGGGGAGCAAACAG
rnacentral:rRNA from 1 species